rnacentral:rRNA from 1 species
CCUACGGGUGGCAGCAGUAGGGAAUAUUGCUCAAUGGGGGAAACCCUGAUGCAGCAACGCCGCGUGGAGGAUGAAGGUUUUCGGAUUGUAAACUCCUUUUGUUAGAGAAGAUAAUGACGGUAUCUAACGAAUAAGCACCGGCUAACUCCGUGCCAGCAGCCGCGGUAAUACGGAGGGGGCAAGCGUUACUCGGAAUCACUGGGCGUAAAGAGCGCGUAGGCGGGAUAGCAAGUCAGAUGUGAAAACCUAUGGCUUAACCAUAGUACUGCAUUUGAAACUGGUAGUCUAGAGUAUAGGAGAGGUAAGUGGAAUUCUUAGUGUAGGGGUGAAAUCCGUAGAGAUUAAGAGGAAUACUCAUUGCGAAGGCGACCUUCUGGACCAUAACUGACGCUGAGGCGCGAAAGCGUGGGGAGCAAACAGGAUUAGAUACCCGUGUAGUC